rnacentral:rRNA from 1 species
UUAAGUUAUUAAGGGCGCACGGUGGAUGCCUUGGCACUAGAAGCCGAUGAAGGACGUUACUAACGACGAUAUGCUUUGGGGAGCUGUAAGUAAGCUUUGAUCCAGAGAUUUCCGAAUGGGGAAACCCAGCAUGAGUUAUGUCAUGUUAUCGAUAUGUGAAUACAUAGCAUAUCAGAAGGCACACCCGGAGAACUGAAACAUCUUAGUACCCGGAGGAAGAGAAAGAAAAUUCGAUUCCCUUAGUAGCGGCGAGCGAAACGGGAAGAGCCCAAACCAACAAGCUUGCUUGUUGGGGUUGUAGGACACUCUAUACGGAGUUACAAAGGACGACAUUAGACGAAUCAUCUGGAAAGAUGAAUCAAAGAAGGUAAUAAUCCUGUAGUCGAAAAUGUUGUCUCUCUUGAGUGGAUCCUGAGUACGACGGAGCACGUGAAAUUCCGUCGGAAUCUGGGAGGACCAUCUCCUAAGGCUAAAUACUCUCUAGUGACCGAUAGUGAACCAGUACCGUGAGGGAAAGGUGAAAAGCACCCCGGAAGGGGAGUGAAAAAGAACCUGAAACCGUGUACGUACAAGCAGUGAGAGCCCGUUAAUGGGUGAUGGCGUGCCUUUUGUAGAAUGAACCGGCGAGUUACGAUUUGAUGCAAGGUUAAGCAGUAAAUGUGGAGCCGUAGCGAAAGCGAGUCUGAAUAGGGCGUUUAGUAUUAGGUCGUAGACCCGAAACCAGGUGAUCUACCCUUGGUCAGGUUGAAGUUCAGGUAACACUGAAUGGAGGACCGAACCGACUUACGUUGAAAAGUGAGCGGAUGAACUGAGGGUAGCGGAGAAAUUCCAAUCGAACCUGGAGAUAGCUGGUUCUCUCCGAAAUAGCUUUAGGGCUAGCCUCAAGUGAUGAUUAUUGGAGGUAGAGCACUGUUUGGACGAGGGGCCCCUCUCGGGUUACCGAAUUCAGACAAACUCCGAAUGCCAAUUAAUUUAACUUGGGAGUCAGAACAUGGGUGAUAAGGUCCGUGUUCGAAAGGGAAACAGCCCAGACCACCAGCUAAGGUCCCAAAAUAUAUGUUAAGUGGAAAAGGAUGUGGCGUUGCCCAGACAACUAGGAUGUUGGCUUAGAAGCAGCCAUCAUUUAAAGAGUGCGUAAUAGCUCACUAGUCGAGUGACACUGCGCCGAAAAUGUACCGGGGCUAAACAUAUUACCGAAGCUGUGGAUUGUCCUUUGGACAAUGGUAGGAGAGCGUUCUAAGGGCGUUGAAGCAUGAUCGUAAGGACAUGUGGAGCGCUUAGAAGUGAGAAUGCCGGUGUGAGUAGCGAAAGACGGGUGAGAAUCCCGUCCACCGAUUGACUAAGGUUUCCAGAGGAAGGCUCGUCCGCUCUGGGUUAGUCGGGUCCUAAGCUGAGGCCGACAGGCGUAGGCGAUGGAUAACAGGUUGAUAUUCCUGUACCACCUAUAAUCGUUUUAAUCGAUGGGGGGACGCAGUAGGAUAGGCGAAGCGUGCGAUUGGAUUGCACGUCUAAGCAGUAAGGCUGAGUAUUAGGCAAAUCCGGUACUCGUUAAGGCUGAGCUGUGAUGGGGAGAAGACAUUGUGUCUUCGAGUCGUUGAUUUCACACUGCCGAGAAAAGCCUCUAGAUAGAAAAUAGGUGCCCGUACCGCAAACCGACACAGGUAGUCAAGAUGAGAAUUCUAAGGUGAGCGAGCGAACUCUCGUUAAGGAACUCGGCAAAAUGACCCCGUAACUUCGGGAGAAGGGGUGCUCUUUAGGGUUAACGCCCAGAAGAGCCGCAGUGAAUAGGCCCAAGCGACUGUUUAUCAAAAACACAGGUCUCUGCUAAACCGUAAGGUGAUGUAUAGGGGCUGACGCCUGCCCGGUGCUGGAAGGUUAAGAGGAGUGGUUAGCUUCUGCGAAGCUACGAAUCGAAGCCCCAGUAAACGGCGGCCGUAACUAUAACGGUCCUAAGGUAGCGAAAUUCCUUGUCGGGUAAGUUCCGACCCGCACGAAAGGCGUAACGAUUUGGGCACUGUCUCAACGAGAGACUCGGUGAAAUCAUAGUACCUGUGAAGAUGCAGGUUACCCGCGACAGGACGGAAAGACCCCGUGGAGCUUUACUGUAGCCUGAUAUUGAAAUUCGGCACAGCUUGUACAGGAUAGGUAGGAGCCUUUGAAACGUGAGCGCUAGCUUACGUGGAGGCGCUGGUGGGAUACUACCCUAGCUGUGUUGGCUUUCUAACCCGCACCACUUAUCGUGGUGGGAGACAGUGUCAGGCGGGCAGUUUGACUGGGGCGGUCGCCUCCUAAAAGGUAACGGAGGCGCUCAAAGGUUCCCUCAGAAUGGUUGGAAAUCAUUCAUAGAGUGUAAAGGCAUAAGGGAGCUUGACUGCGAGACCUACAAGUCGAGCAGGGUCGAAAGACGGACUUAGUGAUCCGGUGGUUCCGCAUGGAAGGGCCAUCGCUCAACGGAUAAAAGCUACCCCGGGGAUAACAGGCUUAUCUCCCCCAAGAGUUCACAUCGACGGGGAGGUUUGGCACCUCGAUGUCGGCUCAUCGCAUCCUGGGGCUGUAGUCGGUCCCAAGGGUUGGGCUGUUCGCCCAUUAAAGCGGUACGCGAGCUGGGUUCAGAACGUCGUGAGACAGUUCGGUCCCUAUCCGUCGUGGGCGUAGGAAAUUUGAGAGGAGCUGUCCUUAGUACGAGAGGACCGGGAUGGACAUACCUCUGGUGUACCAGUUGUCGUGCCAACGGCAUAGCUGGGUAGCUAUGUGUGGACGGGAUAAGUGCUGAAAGCAUCUAAGCAUGAAGCCCCCCUCAAGAUGAGAUUUCCCAACUUCGGUUAUAAGAUCCCUCAAAGAUGAUGAGGUUAAUAGGUUCGAGGUGGAAGCAUGGUGACAUGUGGAGCUGACGAAUACUAAUCGAUCGAAGACUUAAUC